rnacentral:rRNA from 1 species
UACAGAGGUGGCAAGCGUUGUUCGGAAUUACUGGGCGUAAAGGGCGCGUAGGCGGCCUUCUAAGUCAGACGUGAAAUCCCCCGGCUUAACCUGGGAACUGCGUCUGAUACUGGGAGGCUUGAGUAUGGGAGAGGGAUGUAGAAUUCCAGGUGUAGCGGUGAAAUUCGUAGAUAUCUGGAGGAAUACCGGUGGCGAAGGCGGCAUCCUGGACCAUAACUGACGCUGAGGCGCGAAAGCUAGGGGAGCAAACGGG